UAAGACGAACCGUGCAAACGUUGUUCGGAUUCACUGGGCUUAAAGGGCGCGUAGGCGGGCUAUCAAGUCAGGGGUGAAAUCUUUCGGCUCAACCGGAAAACAGCCCCUGAUACUGAUGGUCUUGAGGAAGGUAGGGGCAUGUGGAACUUCCGGUGGAGCGGUGAAAUGCGUAGAUAUCGGAAGGAACGCCGGUGGCGAAAGCGACGUGCUGGACCUUUUCUGACGCUGAGGCGCGAAAGCUAGGGGAGCAAACGGGAUUAGAUACCCCGGUAGUCCUAGCCCUAAACGAUGGGUACUAGGUUGUGGACUUGACAUGGGUUCACAGCCGAAGCAAAAGUGUUAAGUACCCCGCCUGGGGAGUAUGGUCGCAAGGCUGAAACUUAAAGGAAUUGACGG
rnacentral:rRNA from 1 species